UGCCUCGUGUAUAAAUGAUUGGGGUAAAGCACUGUCUCGUCUUUGGGGGUUUUACGACCUUACUGCCUCGAUGCAUACACAGAAUACGAUGAAGUUCGAUCACGGGAGACACUCUGCGGGUGCUAAGGUCCGCAGUGGUAAGGGACACAGCCCAGACCGCCAACUAAGGUCCCAAUGUCAUAGCUAAGGGGGAAACGUAGUGGGAAGGCGCAGACAGCCAGGAGGUUGGCUU
rnacentral:rRNA from 1 species